CCUACGGGUGGCUGCAGUGGGGAAUAUUGCACAAUGGGGGAAACCCUGAUGCAGCGACGCCGCGUGAGCGAUGAAGUAUUUCGGUAUGUAAAGCUCUAUCAGCAGGGAAGAAAAUGACGGUACCUGACUAAGAAGCCCCGGCUAACUACGUGCCAGCAGCCGCGGUAAUACGUAGGGGGCAAGCGUUAUCCGGAUUUACUGGGUGUAAAGGGAGCGUAGACGGUCCUGCAAGCCAGAUGUGAAAGCUCGGGGCUCAACCCCGGGACUGCAUUUGGAACUGUAAGGCUAGAGUGUCGGAGAGGCAGGCGGAAUUCCUAGUGUAGCGGUGAAAUGCGUAGAUAUUAGGAGGAACACCAGUGGCGAAGGCGACCUGCUGGACUGCAACUGACACUGAGGCUCGAAAGUGUGGGUAUCAAACAGGAUUAGAUACCCAGGUAGUC
rnacentral:rRNA from 1 species